rnacentral:rRNA from 1 species
GCUGGCGGCAGGCUACACAUGCAGUCGAGCGGAUGAGAGGAGCUUGCUCCUGGAUUCAGCGGCGGACGGGUGAGUAAUGCCUAGGAAUCUGCUGGUAGUGGGGGACAACGUUUCGAAAGGAACGCUAAUACCGCAUACGUCCUACGGGAGAAAGCAGGGGACCUUCGGGCCUUGCGCUAUCAGAUGAGCCUAGGUCGGAUUAGCUAGUUGGUGAGGUAAUGGCUCACCAAGGCGACGAUCCGUAACUGGUCUGAGAGGAUGAUCAGUCACACUGGAACUGAGACACGGUCCAGACUCCAUACGGGAGGCAGCAGUGGGGAAUAUUGGACAAUGGGCGAAAGCCUGAUCCAGCCAUGCCGCGUGUGUGAAGAAGGUCUUCGGAUUGUAAAGCACUUUAAGUUGGGAGGAAGGGCAGUAAAUUAAUACUUUGCUGUUUUGACGUUACCGACAGAAUAAGCACCGGCUAACUCUGUGCCAGCAGCCGCGGUAAUACAGAGGGUGCAAGCGUUAAUCGGAAUUACUGGGCGUAAAGCGCGCGUAGGUGGUUCGUUAAGUUGGAUGUGAAAUCCCCGGGCUCAACCUGGGAACUGCAUUCAAAACUGUCGAA